GCUGAGGUGGCAGAGUAAGUGCGUUGGAUUUAAGCUUCAAAUAUGGAAACAUGUUUUCUUCUUAGUA
rnacentral:tRNA from 1 species